UACUGAUUUGCUUAAUUGCACCACAUGUGUUUUUCUUUGAAACAAACUUGCUUUGGCGGUGGGCCCAGCCUGCCGCCAGAGGUCUAAACUUACAACCAAUUUUUUAUCAACUUGUCACACCAGAUUAUUACUAAUAGUCAAAACUUUCAACAACGGAUCUCUUGGUUCUCGCAUCGAUGAAGAACGCAGCGAAAUGCGAUACGUAAUAUGAAUUGCAGAUAUUCGUGAAUCAUCGAAUCUUUGAACGCACAUUGCGCCCUCUGGUAUUCCGGAGGGCAUGCCUGUUUGAGCGCCGUUUCUCCCUCAAACCGCUGGGUUUGGUGUUGAGCAAUACGACUUGGGUUUGCUUGAAAGACGGUAGUGGUAAGGCGGGAUCGCUUUGACAAUGGCUUAGGUCUAACCAAAAACAUUGCUUGCGGCGGUAACGUCCACCACGUAUAUCUUCAAACUUUGACCUCAAAUCAGGUAGGACUACCCGCUGAACUUAAGCAUAUCAAUAAGCGGAGGAA
rnacentral:rRNA from 1 species